AAACUGAAUUAUUGCUACACUGGUUCAGCUGCAAAGCUUUUUACAGUCUCCUCACAAGGGACUAACAAAAUCACUCCGGUUAUUGGCACCAAGCACUAAAUCAGCCACCUCAAAUGGAGCAUUUUCUACCUCUGACAACUGGGAAAUGUGAAGCAAAAAGUAAAACCGCAAAGUUUUCAAGAGCAAAGUUCCCAGGUAGCCAGUUUGAAAACCUUCUUCUAAAAGAUGCUGUCAACAACAGCUGCCAACACCAAUCCUCCCAAAAUCAGACCUCUGUGGGGGUCAUCUCUGAAUAUUUUCUUCAGCAGGACAAGCCAGAAGCAGAGGCAAUAAAAAUCUGUCAGCCUUGGCACAUUUAUCCCAAGUUCACAGCACAGGGAGACCAGAGGGACUGAGAACAGGUCUGCUCCUGGAC